rnacentral:rRNA from 1 species
CCUACGGGAGGCAGCAGUGAGGAAUAUUGGUCAAUGGACGAGAGUCUGAACCAGCCAAGUAGCGUGAAGGAUGACUGCCCUAUGGGUUGUAAACUUCUUUUAUAUGGGAAUAAAACGUUCAACGUGUGGGAUUUUGUAUGUACCAUAUGAAUAAGGAUCGGCUAACUCCGUGCCAGCAGCCGCGGUAAGACGGAGGAUCCGAGCGUUAUCCGGAUUUAUUGGGUUUAAAGGGAGCGUAGGUGGAUUGUUAAGUCAGUGGUGAAAGUUUGCGGCUCAACCGUAAAAUUGCAGUUGAAACUGGCAGUCUUGAGUACAGUAGAGGUGGGCGGAAGUCGUGGUGUAGCGGUGAAAUGCUUAGAUAUCACGAAGAACUCCGAUUGCGAAGGCAGUUCACUGGACUGCAACUGACACUGAGGCUCGAAAGUGUGGGUAUCAAACAGGAUUAGAUACCCCUGUAGUC